rnacentral:piRNA from 1 species
UGCAUCCAGGCUGUCUGUUCUUUGUUCCCUCU